rnacentral:rRNA from 1 species
AUGGGGUGCANCAGGCGCGAAAACUUCGCAAUGCGCGAAAGCGUGACGAGGUUAUCCCGAGUGCUGUCCGAUGAGGAUAGCUUUUCACCGAUGUAAAUAGUCAGUGGAAUAAGGGGGGGGCAAGACUGGUGUCNGCCGCCGCGGUAAUACCAGCCCCCCGAGUGGUGGGGACGAUUAUUUGGCCUAAAGCGUUCGUAGCCGGCUUGGUAAGUCCUCCGUUAAAUCUGACGACUUAAUCNUCAGGCUGCGGACGAUACUACUGGGCUAGGAGGCGGAAGAGGUCGACGGUAUUCCNGGGGUAGGAGUGGAAUCCUAUAAUCCUUGGAGGACCACCAGUGGCGAAGGCGGUCGACCAGAACGCGCUCGACGGUGAGGGACGAAAGCUGGGGGAGCGAACCGGAUUAGAUACCCGGGUAGUCCCAGCUGUAAACGAUGCAAGCUAGGUGUUGGCGCGGCUACGGGCCGUGCCAGUGCCCCAGGGAAGCCCUUAAGCUUGCCGCCUGGGGAGUACGGUCGCAAGGCUGAAACUUAAAGGAAUUGGCGGGGGAGCAC